UACGUAGGGCGCAAGCGUUGUCCGGAAUUAUUGGGCGUAAAGAGCUCGUAGGCGGUUUGUCGCGUCUGCUGUGAAAACCUAAGGCUCAACCUUGGGCUUGCAGUGGGUACGGGCAGACUAGAGUGCGGUAGGGGGUGACUGGAAUUCCUGGUGUAGCGGUGGAAUGCGCAGAUAUCAGGAGGAACACCGAUGGCGAAGGCAGGUCACUGGGCCGCAACUGACGCUGGAGGAGCG
rnacentral:rRNA from 1 species